rnacentral:rRNA from 1 species
AGAGUUUGAUCCUGGCUCAGGACGAACGCUGGCGGCGCGCCUAACACAUGCAAGUCGAACGAGAGAGAGGGAGCUUGCUUCCUCAAUCGAGUGGCGAACGGGUGAGUAACGCGUGAGGAACCUGCCUCAAAGAGGGGGACAACAGUUGGAAACGACUGCUAAUACCGCAUAAGCCCACGGCUCGGCAUCGAGCAGAGGGAAAAGGAGCAAUCCGCUUUGAGAUGGCCUCGCGUCCGAUUAGCUAGUUGGUGAGGUAAUGGCCCACCAAGGCGACGAUCGGUAGCCGGACUGAGAGGUUGAACGGCCACAUUGGGACUGAGACACGGCCCAGACUCCUACGGGAGGCAGCAGUGGGGAAUAUUGCACAAUGGGGGAAACCCUGAUGCAGCGACGCCGUGUGGAGGAAGAAGGUCUUCGGAUUGUAAACUCCUGUUGUUGAGGAAGAUAAUGACGGUACUCAACAAGGAAGUGACGGCUAACUACGUGCCAGCAGCCGCGGUAAAACGUAGGUCACAAGCGUUGUCCGGAAUUACUGGGUGUAAAGGGAGCGCAGGCGGGCGAUCAAGUUGGAAGUGAAAUCCAUGGGCUCAACCCAUGAACUGCUUUCAAAACUGAUUGUCUUGAGUAGCGCAGAGGUAGGCGGAAUUCCCGGUGUAGCGGUGGAAUGCGUAGAUAUCGGGAGGAACACCAGUGGCGAAGGCGGCCUACUGGGCACCAACUGACGCUGAGGCUCGAAAGUGUGGGUAGCAAACAGGAUUAGAUACCCUGGUAGUCCACACCGUAAACGAUGAUUACUAGGUGUUGGAGGAUUGACCCCUUCAGUGCCGCAGUUAACACAAUAAGUAAUCCACCUGGGGGGUACGACCGCAAGGUUGAAACUCAAAGGAAUUGACGGGGGCCCGCACAAGCAGUGGAGUAUGUGGUUUAAUUCGAAGCAACGCGAAGAACCUUACCAAGUCUUGACAUCCUUCUGACCGGUACUUAACCGUACCUUCUCUUCGGAGCAGGAGUGACAGGUGGCGCAUGGUUGUCGUCAGCUCGUGUCGUGAGAUGUUGGGUUAAGUCCCGCAACGAGCGCAACCCUUAUCUUUAGUAGCCAGCGGUUUAGCCGGGCACUCUAGAGAGACUGCCAGGGAUAACCUGGAGGAAGGCGGGGAUGACGUCAAAUCAUCAUGCCCCUUAUGACUUGGGCUACACACGUGCUACAAUGGCGUAAACAAAGGGAAGCAAAGCUGUGAAGCCGAGCAAAUCUCAAAAAUAACGUCUCAGUUCGGACUGUAGUCUGCAACCCGACUACACGAAGCUGGAAUCGCUAGCAAUCGCAGAUCAGAAUGCUGCGGUGAAUACGUUCCCGGGUCUUGUACACACCGCCCGUCACACCAUGGGAGUUGGGAAUGCCCGAAGCCAGUGACCUAACCGAAAGGAAGGAGCUGUCGAAGGCAGGCUCGAUAACUGGGGUGAAGUCGUAACAAGGUA